AUUGAACGCUGGCGGCAGGCCUAACACAUGCAAGUCGAACGAGUGGCGGACGGGUGAGUCAUGUCUGGGAAACUGCCUGCUGGAGGGGGAUAACUACUGGAAACGGUAGCUAAUACCGCAUCCCAUCGGAUGUGCCCAGAUGGGAUUAGCUGGUAGGGGGGGUAACGGCUCACCUAGGCGACGAUCCCUAGCUGGUCUGAGAGGCUGACCAGCCACACUGGAACGGGGACACGGUCCAGAUUCCUACGGGAGGCAGCAGGGGGGAAUAUUGCACAAUGGGCGCAAGCCUGAUGCAGCCAUGCCGCGUGUAUGAAGAAGGCCGUCGGGUUGGAAAGUACUUUCAGCGGGGAGGCGUUACCCGCAGAAGAAGCACCGGCUAACUCCGUGCCAGCAGCCGCGGGAAUAC
rnacentral:rRNA from 1 species